UGCCCAGCAACUCCUAUCCCUACCUCCACGCGGUACCGGCCGGUUGGGGAAGAUCGGGUAACCAAUCCCGGUGGGAACUUUGGUCGUAAGCUGUCAGGGAAGG
rnacentral:ribozyme from 1 species